rnacentral:rRNA from 1 species
GAGCGGCGGACGGGUGAGUAAUGCCUAGGAAUCUGCCUGGUAGUGGGGGAUAACGUCCGGAAACGGACGCUAAUACCGCAUACGUCCUACGGGAGAAAGCAGGGGACCUUCGGGCCUUGCGCUAUCAGAUGAGCCUAGGUCGGAUUAGCUAGUUGGUGGGGUAAUGGCUCACCAAGGCGACGAUCCGUAACUGGUCUGAGAGGAUGAUCAGUCACACUGGAACUGAGACACGGUCCAGACUCCUACGGGAGGCAGCAGUGGGGAAUAUUGGACAAUGGGCGAAAGCCUGAUCCAGCCAUGCCGCGUGUGUGAAGAAGGUCUUCGGAUUGUAAAGCACUUUAAGUUGGGAGGAAGGGCAGUUGCCUAAUACGUAACUGUUUUGACGUUACCGACAGAAUAAGCACCGGCUAACUCUGUGCCAGCAGCCGCGGUAAUACAGAGGGUGCAAGCGUUAAUCGGAAUUACUGGGCGUAAAGCGCGCGUAGGUGGUUUGUUAAGUUGGAUGUGAAAUCCCCGGGCUCAACCUGGGAACUGCAUUCAAAACUGACUGACUAGAGUAUGGUAGAGGGUGGUGGAAUUUCCUGUGUAGCGGUGAAAUGCGUAGAUAUAGGAAGGAACACCAGUGGCGAAGGCGACCACCUGGACUGAUACUGACACUGAG